UACGUAGGGUGCAAGCGUUGUCCGGAAUUAUUGGGCGUAAAGAGCUCGUAGGCGGCUUGUCGCGUCGACUGUGAAAUCCCGUGGCUCAACUGCGGCUUGCAGCCGAUACGGCAGCUAGAGUUCGUAGGGAGACUGGAAUUCCUGUGUAGCGUGGAAUGCGCAGAUAUCAGGAGAACACCGAUGGCGAAGCAGAUCUCUGGCCGUAACUGACGCUGAGGAGCGAAAGCAUGGGGAGCGAACAGG
rnacentral:rRNA from 1 species